rnacentral:rRNA from 1 species
UUAAGCGACUAAGCGUACACGGUGGAUGCCCUGGCAGUCAGAGGCGAUGAAGGGCGUGCUAAUCUGCGAUAAGCGCCGGUAAGGUGAUAUGAACCGUUAUAACCGGCGAUACCCGAAUGGGGAAACCCAGUGUGAUUCGUCACACUAUCAUUAACUGAAUCCAUAGGUUAAUGAGGCGAACCGGGGGAACUGAAACAUCUAAGUACCCCGAGGAAAAGAAAUCAACCGAGAUUCCCCCAGUAGCGGCGAGCGAACGGGGAGGAGCCCAGAGCCUGAAUCAGCAUGUGUGUUAGUGGAAGCGUCUGGAAAGGCGCGCGAUACAGGGUGACAGCCCCGUACACAAAAGCGCAUGUGCUGUGAGCUCGAUGAGUAGGGCGGGACACGUGGUAUCCUGUCUGAAUAUGGGGGGACCAUCCUCCAAGGCUAAAUACUCCUGACUGACCGAUAGUGAACCAGUACCGUGAGGGAAAGGCGAAAAGAACCCCGGCGAGGGGAGUGAAAAAGAACCUGAAACCGUGUACGUACAAGCAGUGGGAGCACAGGUUUACCUGUGUGACUGCGUACCUUUUGUAUAAUGGGUCAGCGACUUAUAUUCUGUAGCAAGGUUAACCGCAUAGGGGAGCCGGAGGGAAACCGAGUCUUAAUUGGGCGUUAAGUUGCAGGGUAUAGACCCGAAACCCGGUGAUCUAGCCAUGGGCAGGUUGAAGGUUGGGUAACACUAACUGGAGGACCGAACCGACUAAUGUUGAAAAAUUAGCGGAUGACCUGUGGCUGGGGGUGAAAGGCCAAUCAAACCGGGAGAUAGCUGGUUCUCCCCGAAAGCUAUUUAGGUAGCGCCUCGUGAAUUCAUCUCCGGGGGUAGAGCACUGUUUCGGCUAGGGGGCCAUCCCGGCUUACCAACCCGAUGCAAACUGCGAAUACCGGAGAAUGUUAUCACGGGAGACACACGGCGGGUGCUAACGUCCGUCGUGAAGAGGGAAACAACCCAGACCGCCAGCUAAGGUCCCAAAGUCAUGGUUAAGUGGGAAACGAUGUGGGAAGGCCCAGACAGCCAGGAUGUUGGCUUAGAAGCAGCCAUCAUUUAAAGAAAGCGUAAUAGCUCACUGGUCGAGUCGGCCUGCGCGGAAGAUGUAACGGGGCUAAACCAUGCACCGAAGCUGCGGCAGCGACGCUGAUGCGUUGUUGGGUAGGGGAGCGUUCUGUAAGCCUGUGAAGGUGGCCUGUGAGGGUUGCUGGAGGUAUCAGAAGUGCGAAUGCUGACAUAAGUAACGAUAAAGCGGGUGAAAAGCCCGCUCGCCGGAAGACCAAGGGUUCCUGUCCAACGUUAAUCGGGGCAGGGUGAGUCGACCCCUAAGGCGAGGCCGAAAGGCGUAGUCGAUGGGAAACGGGUUAAUAUUCCCGUACUUGGUGUUACUGCGAAGGGGGGACGGAGAAGGCUAUGUUGGCCGGGCGACGGUUGUCCCGGUUUAAGCGUGUAGGUGUGUGUUCCAGGUAAAUCCGGUUCACUUUAACACUGAGGCGUGACGACGAGGCACUACGGUGCUGAAGCAACAAAUGCCCUGCUUCCAGGAAAAGCCUCUAAGCAUCAGGUAACAUCAAAUCGUACCCCAAACCGACACAGGUGGUCAGGUAGAGAAUACCAAGGCGCUUGAGAGAACUCGGGUGAAGGAACUAGGCAAAAUGGUGCCGUAACUUCGGGAGAAGGCACGCUGACAUGUAGGUGAAGUGAUUUACUCAUGGAGCUGAAGUCAGUCGAAGAUACCAGCUGGCUGCAACUGUUUAUUAAAAACACAGCACUGUGCAAACACGAAAGUGGACGUAUACGGUGUGACGCCUGCCCGGUGCCGGAAGGUUAAUUGAUGGGGUCAGCGCAAGCGAAGCUCCUGAUCGAAGCCCCGGUAAACGGCGGCCGUAACUAUAACGGUCCUAAGGUAGCGAAAUUCCUUGUCGGGUAAGUUCCGACCUGCACGAAUGGCGUAAUGAUGGCCAGGCUGUCUCCACCCGAGACUCAGUGAAAUUGAACUCGCUGUGAAGAUGCAGUGUACCCGCGGCAAGACGGAAAGACCCCGUGAACCUUUACUAUAGCUUGACACUGAACAUUGAGCCUUGAUGUGUAGGAUAGGUGGGAGGCUUUGAAGUGUGGACGCCAGUCUGCAUGGAGCCGACCUUGAAAUACCACCCUUUAAUGUUUGAUGUUCUAACGUGGACCCGUAAUCCGGGUUGCGGACAGUGUCUGGUGGGUAGUUUGACUGGGGCGGUCUCCUCCUAAAGAGUAACGGAGGAGCACGAAGGUUGGCUAAUCCUGGUCGGACAUCAGGAGGUUAGUGCAAUGGCAUAAGCCAGCUUGACUGCGAGCGUGACGGCGCGAGCAGGUGCGAAAGCAGGUCAUAGUGAUCCGGUGGUUCUGAAUGGAAGGGCCAUCGCUCAACGGAUAAAAGGUACUCCGGGGAUAACAGGCUGAUACCGCCCAAGAGUUCAUAUCGACGGCGGUGUUUGGCACCUCGAUGUCGGCUCAUCACAUCCUGGGGCUGAAGUAGGUCCCAAGGGUAUGGCUGUUCGCCAUUUAAAGUGGUACGCGAGCUGGGUUUAGAACGUCGUGAGACAGUUCGGUCCCUAUCUGCCGUGGGCGCUGGAGAACUGAGGGGGGCUGCUCCUAGUACGAGAGGACCGGAGUGGACGCAUCACUGGUGUUCGGGUUGUCAUGCCAAUGGCACUGCCCGGUAGCUAAAUGCGGAAGAGAUAAGUGCUGAAAGCAUCUAAGCACGAAACUUGCCCCGAGAUGAGUUCUCCCUGAGACUUAGAGUCUCCUGAAGGAACGUUGAAGACGACGACGUUGAUAGGCCGGGUGUGUAAGCGCAGCGAUGCGUUGAGCUAACCGGUACUAAUGAACCGUGAGGCUUAACCUU